AUUCUUUAUUCAGAUUGAGGGGCUGCAGUUUGUCAGAGAUCAGCUGUGCUUCUCUGGUCUCAGCUCUGAAGUCCAACCCCUCCCAUCUGAGAGAGCUGGACCUGAGGAACAACAAGCAGCUGUGUUCAGGAGUGAAGCUGCUGUCUGAUCUGAAGAAGAGUCCACACUACAGACUGGAGACUCUGAGACUGAAGUGAUCUCUGUCAGAGUGUGAGGGAUGAGAAAGGUGGAGGUGUUGAGAGAGGAUCAGCUGUGUCCUGAUGAUCCAGAGAGGUUGAAGCAGCAGCAUCAGCUUGUGUGUGGAGAGGCUCUGACUGGGCCAUGUUACUGGGAGGUAGAGUGGAGAGGAGAGCUUCAUCCAGCAGUGACUGACAGAGGAAUCCCAACAGUGCUGCAGUCUGAACUGCUCUGAGAUCAGCUCCACUGUCAGACGCAAAGUCAAUAUUCUUGUUUUAUUGCAACUUUAUUCUGCAUUAUAUUCUGUUAUAUUUUGAAUUGUCACCUGCCGCCUGAAUUUUCUGUUUCAUUUUAUAUAAAUAAAAACAUUUCUACCAUAAACUGAUGCAGAACAUUUCUCCAGAAUGCAGGAAAUGAAGUCUUUAUUUCUCAAAAAUUUCUGGUGGAGAACCACCCACUACAGGAUCAACACAACAUAUUCACAGUUAAACACAUUUAGUAGCUGCUCUGGAGCUUUCAAUAAUAUCAUGAUCUUCCUCAGCAGAUGUUAUGCCAGAGUGCGAACUAUGGGGGAGCCAAGGGGAGCUUAUCUCCUCUUAAUAAGACAUCAGCUCCCCUAAAAGCAUGAUUUGGAACAUUUUGGGGGAAUAUAAUGACAGCAUGCUUUAUUGCCAUAAAUCUCUAUAUUUCUCUAUCGUCAUGGAACAGGCGGAGCGUCAGACUUCAUCCAGCCAGAGGGAACGAUCAGCGACCGUCCGCAGAGGGCCGGUUGCUCCGCAAUCUCCCUGCUCUGUACGCUCCACCGCCCCAGUCCCUCUCUGAAGAGUACAAGAUUCUGCUGCAGCGCCGAACGAGCAGACGAGUCAGAGGUUCCCGUUCAGUUCACCUGCUGAGUCCUGGAGUCCUCCUGAGAUCCCUCUAGGCUGGAACCUGCAGAGAAAACAAAAACUCACC